GAACGGUGAAGCCAAGCUUGCUUGGUGGAUCAGUGGCGAACGGGUGAGUAACACGUGAGCAACCUGCCCUGGACUCUGGGAUAAGCGCUGGAAACGGCGUCUAAUACUGGAUAUGAGCUCUUACCGCAUGGUGGGGGUUGGAAAGAUUUUUUGGUCUGGGAUGGGCUCGCGGCCUAUCAGCUUGUUGGUGAGGUAAUGGCUCACCAAGGCGUCGACGGGUAGCCGGCCUGAGAGGGUGACCGGCCACACUGGGACUGAGACACGGCCCAGACUCCUACGGGAGGCAGCAGUGGGGAAUAUUGCACAAUGGGCGAAAGCCUGAUGCAGCAACGCCGCGUGAGGGAUGACGGCCUUCGGGUUGUAAACCUCUUUUAGCAGGGAAGAAGCGAAAGUGACGGUACCUGCAGAAAAAGCGCCGGCUAACUACGUGCCAGCAGCCGCGGUAAUACGUAGGGCGCAAGCGUUAUCCGGAAUUAUUGGGCGUAAAGAGCUCGUAGGCGGUUUGUCGCGUCUGCUGUGAAAUCCCGAGGCUCAACCUCGGGCCUGCAGUGGGUACGGGCAGACUAGAGUGCGGUAGGGGAGAUUGGAAUUCCUGGUGUAGCGGUGGAAUGCGCAGAUAUCAGGAGGAACACCGAUGGCGAAGGCAGAUCUCUGGGCCGUAACUGACGCUGAGGAGCGAAAGGGUGGGGAGCAAACAGGCUUAGAUACCCUGGUAGUCCACCCCGUAAACGUUGGGAACUAGUUGUGGG
rnacentral:rRNA from 1 species